AGUGAAAAUAAAAUAUAACUUUUCUCAGAUCUCCUAGGGCCAUUCUUAUAUUCUACUGAUUCUUACAGUCUUUGUACUUCUCUUUGUCCAAAAUGGAAAGCACUUUGUAUCCACACAUAUACAGUUCCAAAGCCUAUUCAGUGAUAUAGUUGCUGUUAACUGCCUGAGUCUUCCAAACUCAUUUGCACAAGUCUUAAAAUGUGUAUUAGCUGCCUUAGAAACGUAAACAGCAGCCACCCCACUGACCAUGCACAGCCAGUCAAUAAGUUAUUGCUAUGGUAUGCAAUCUAUGCACACACUAGGCCAUAGCAAAAACUAGCCACCCAUUAUAGCCCCACCAGGGGAAAAAAUCAAUCAGCCUGAAAAUUAGUCAGGAUCAAGAGGCAGGCUAACUCAGAAACUGACAACCAGCCUGCAAGUCAAUAGCUUCUGAUCCAGCUGAUACUGUUUCAGUCACAAUGUUAUAGCUGCUAAUAGAGUCAAGAUCACACUCUUCUGAACUGCUGCUGCCUUCACCAAAUGCAAACGUCUUCUCCCAUUCCUUGUACUGCUGAAAGCCAUUGCGUUUUUAAGCUGUUCAUGAACAUUGUGAAAAGUUACAACAAGUCCGAGCCUACUUCGACCUCUUCCGGUUUCGUGAGCUAAACAGAGGCGAGAUGG